AUUGAACGCUGGCGGCAUGCUUUACACAUGCAAGUCGAACGGUAACAGGCCUUCGGGUGCUGACGAGUGGCGAACGGGUGAGUAAUGCAUCGGAACGUGCCCAGAGGUGGGGGAUAACGCAGCGGAAGCUGUGCUAAUACCGCAUGUGAUCUGAGGAUGAAAGCGGGGGACCAGGCAGCAAUGUUUGGCCUCGCGCCUUUGGAGCGGCCGAUGUCAGAUUAGGUAGUUGGUGGGGUAAAGGCCUACCAAGCCGACGAUCUGUAGCUGGUCUGAGAGGACGACCAGCCACACGGGGACUGAGAAAGGGCCCAGCCCCCACGGGGAGGCAGGGGGGGGGAAUUUUGGAAAAGGGGGGAAAGCCUGAACCAGCAAUGCGGGGGGGGGGAAGAAGGCCUUCGGGUUGUAAACCGCUUUUGUAGGGAAAAAAAAGGCUCUGGGUAAAACCGGGGGGUGAGGACGGUACCGAAAGAAUAAGCACCGGCUAACUACGU
rnacentral:rRNA from 1 species